rnacentral:rRNA from 1 species
GACGAACGCUGGCGGCGUGCUUAACACAUGCAAGUCGAACGGAAAGGCCCUGCUUUUGUGGGGUGCUCGAGUGGCGAACGGGUGAGUAACACGUGAGUAACCUGCCCUUGACUUUGGGAUAACUUCAGGAAACUGGGGCUAAUACCGGAUAGGAGCUCCUGCUGCAUGGUGGGGGUUGGAAAGUUUCGGCGGUUGGGGAUGGACUCGCGGCUUAUCAGCUUGUUGGUGGGGUAGUGGCUUACCAAGGCUUUGACGGGUAGCCGGCCUGAGAGGGUGACCAGCCACAUUGGGACUGAGGUACGGCCCAGACUCCUACGGGAGGCAGCAGUGGGGAAUAUUGCACAGUGGGCGGAAGCCUGAUGCAGCAACGCCGCGUGCGGGAUGACGGCCUUCGGGUUGUAAACCGCUUUCGCCUGUGACGAAGCGUGAGUGACGGUAAUGGGUAAAGAAGCACCGGCUAACUACGUG